AAGCGCUUAAAUGGAUUUCUUCGGAUUGAAGUUUUUGUGACUGAGUGGCGGACGGGUGAGUAACGCGUGGGUAACCUGCCUCAUACAGGGGGAUAACAGUUAGAAAUGACUGCUAAUACCGCAUAAGCGCACAGUGCUGCAUGGCACAGUGUGAAAAACUCCGGUGGUAUGAGAUGGACCCGCGUCUGAUUAGCUGGUUGGUGGGGUAAUGGCCUACCAAGGCGACGAUCAGUAGCCGGCCUGAGAGGGUGAACGGCCACAUUGGGACUGAGACACGGCCCAAACUCCUACGGGAGGCAGCAGUGGGGAAUAUUGCACAAUGGGGGAAACCCUGAUGCAGCGACGCCGCGUGAGCGAAGAAGUAUUUCGGUAUGUAAAGCUCUAUCAGCAGGGAAGAAAAUGACGGUACCUGACUAAGAAGCACCGGCUAAAUACGUGCCAGCAGCCGCGGUAAUACGUAUGGUGCAAGCGUUAUCCGGAUUUACUGGGUGUAAAGGGAGCGUAGACGGUUGUGUAAGUCUGAUGUGAAAGCCCGGGGCUCAACCCCGGGACUGCAUUGGAAACUAUGUAACUAGAGUGUCGGAGAGGUAAGCGGAAUUCCUAGUGUAGCGGUGAAAUGCGUAGAUAUUAGGAGGAACACCAGUGGCGAAGGCGGCUUACUGGACG
rnacentral:rRNA from 1 species